UGAGAGGGUGAACGGCCACAUUGGGACUGAGACACGGCCCAGACUCCUACGGGAGGGCAGCAGUGGGGAAUAUGCACAAUGGGGGCAACCUUGAUGCAGCGACGCCGCGUGAAGGAAGAAGUUUUCGGUAUGUAAAGCUCUAUCAGCAGGGAAGAUAAUGACGGUACCUGACUAAGAAGCUCCGGCUAAAUACGUGCCAGC
rnacentral:rRNA from 1 species